rnacentral:rRNA from 1 species
CUCCUUUGACGUUAGCGGCGGACGGGUGAGUAACACGUGGGUAACCUACCUAUAAGACUGGGAUAACUUCGGGAAACCGGAGCUAAUACCGGAUAAUAUUUCGAACCGCAUGGUUCGAUAGUGAAAGAUGGUUUUGCUAUCACUUAUAGAUGGACCCGCGCCGUAUUAGCUAGUUGGUAAGGUAACGGCUUACCAAGGCGACGAUACGUAGCCGACCUGAGAGGGUUAUCGGCCACACUGGAACUGAGACACGGUCCAGACUCCUACGGGAGGCAGCAGCC